ensembl:lncRNA
CCCUGAUUAAAAAUAGCCUUUAUUCCAGUGCAUUAGUUUAAUCUGUUGAUUCAUCAUUGUUUGUUUUUGUCGGUCUGUUGUUUAGAGCGCUCAUUGUUUUGUUUUUCAGGUGCGCGUGGGUACUGUUCUUCCCCGUGCCGUCCGGGGACAGAAGUACCAGACCAUUUAUACAGCUUUAUUACUUUCUAUCAAUAUUUGUUUUCUUUCCUGGAUCAGCUGAUGAUGAUCGACAAUACCGCUAGACAACUAUCCUACAGCUAGACACCAAUGAUCAUCCAAUCCAUCCAACAAGCAUAUGUUAAUGACAGUAGGCCUAUAGUUGACUCUUUGGGUUAGAAGCAUUACAUUUUGCAAUGGCAUAGUCCGACAUUAUUGUGGAUUUGUGUGCCCAUGAGAACUGUUUUUCACAAGAAACAUCAUGAAAUGUUACUUAGGCAUAGUUAGACUUACAGUGCAUUUUCCGAGAUCUCCAAGAUCCAUGAUUCGUACAGGGUUUAAGUCACAUUUUCUAAUUCAAUUGGUAAAUGCUUAGUAAUUGUCACGCCCUGAUCUGUUUCACCUGACUUUGUGCUUGUUUCCACCCCCCUCCAGGUGUCGCCCAUCUUCCCCAUUAUCCCCUGUGUACUUAUAGACACCUCCAGGUGUCGCCCAUCUUCCCCAUUAUCCCCUGUGUACUUAUACACACCUCCAGGUGUCGCCCAUCUUCCCCAUUAUCCCCUGUGUACUUAUACACACCUCCAGGUGUCGCCCAGCUUCCCCAUUAUCCCCUGUGUACUUAUACACACCUCCAGGUGUCGCCCAUCUUCCCCAUUAUCCCCUGUGUACUUAUACCUGUGUUUUCUGUCUGUCUGUUGUCAGUUGGUCUUGUUUGUCAAGCUUACCAGCGGUCGUCCUGUCAGCUCCUGUCUUUUCCCAGCCUCGCUUUCUCUCGUCCUCCUGGUUUUUGACCCUUGCCUGUCCUGACCCUGUACCUGCCUGCCGUCCUGUACCUUUGCUCCUACUCUGGAUUGUCGACCCCUGCCUGCCUUGACCUGUCAUUUGCCUGACCCGGUGGUUACAAUAAACAUUGUUACUUCACAUAGUCUGCACUUGGGUCUUACCUUGAUUCCUGAGAGUAAUGACAAAUAACACUGUCAUAAAUGGCAUUAAUGUAAAGAAAGAAUGGUUGUGUUUUAUGUCACACGAUCUGUGAAGACUCCAAGCAUUUAACUCAUUAAAUAUGGACUCAUGAACUAGGGUGUAAAACAUGAUUUAAUUGAACUCAUGUAUUAUAUUCAAUGUAGACUACCUAUUCUGCGUGUGUUCCUGUGUUUAAAAUGGCCUUGGUUGAGAGGGUAGGCUACCGGCAGGGGUGUAGGCCCCCGACACUGAAAGCAUGGGGAGAGUUACUUUUUUACACCAUUACCGCCAAUCAGAGUUAACCCACCUAUGUUUUGGAACAUUAUAUCACUGGCUACCGGUAGGCAUAUUUGAAGUCCAGGAUCCAGUUGCAGAGGGAGGUGUUCAGCCCCAUUGUCCUGAGCUUGGUGAUGAGCUUGGAGGGGACUAUGGCGUUGAACGCUGAGCUGUAGUCAAUGAACAUAAUUCUUACAAAGAUAUUCCUUUUGUCCAGGUGGGUGAGGGCAGUGUGGAGUGCAAUAAAGAUUGCGUCAUCUGUGGAUCUGUUGGGGCGGUAUGCAAAUUGGAGUGGGUCCAGGGUGUCUGGGGUGAUGGUGUUGAUGUGAGCCAUGACCAGCCUUUCAAAGCUAUAGAUGUGAGAACGACGGGGCGAUAGUAAUUUAGGCAGGUUACUUUGGCAUUCUUGGGCACGGGGACUAUGGUGGUCCGUGCUUCUACACCUGCAUUGCUUGCUGUUUGGGGUUUUAGGCUGGGUUUCUGUACAGCGCUUUGAGAUAUCAGCUGAUGUACGAAGGGCUAUAUAAAUACAUUUGAUUUGAUUUGAUUUGGUAGUCUGCUUGAAACAAGUUGGUAUUACAGACCGGGUCAAGGAUAGGGGAUUUCUUAUUUUUAGUUAUUUUUACUGGAUUGUUGGGUUUAGAGCUUGCAAGAAAAGCAUUCACUGUACUUGUGCACAUGACAUUAAAACUUGAAAAUGUAAAAUGUCAGUGAAGACACUUGCAAGCUGGUCAGAGCAUGCUCUGAGUAUGCAUCCUGGUAUUUCGUCUGUCCCCGUUGCUUUGUGAAUGUUAACCUGUUUAAAGGUCUUACUUACAUUGGCUAUUAAGAGCAAGAUCACACAGUCUUUCGGAACAACUGGUGCUCUCAUAUGCAUGGUUCAGUGUUGCUUGCGAGCAUUGAAGACAUUUAGCUCUUCUGGUAGGAUCGCGUCGCUGGGCAUCUCACGGCUGGGUUUCCCUUUUGUAAUCCGUGAUAGUUUGCAAACCCUGCCACAUCUGUCAAGCGUCCGAGCCGGUGUAGUGUGAUUCGAUUUUAGCCCUGUAUUGACACUGCCUGUUUGAUGGCUAACAUUUCAAAUAGACAGGAAGGCACAUUAUUCAGUGUGUGUUCCAAAUACUGCCACUCACAAAUGCAUCACAUGCAGUUGACUUACUUUAAAAAAUCAUGAUGCAGAGAUUGUUUUAUGGUAUUUUUUGCACAGAUCUGG